GCAGCAGGCACGCAAAUUACCCACUCCCGGCACGGGGAGGUAGUGACAAAAAAUAACGAUACGGGACUCUAUUGAGGCCCCGUAAUCGGAAUGAGUACACUUUAAAUCCUUUAACAAGGAUCCAUUGGAGGGCAAGUCUGGUGCCAGCAGCCGCGGUAAUUCCAGCUCCAAUAGCGUAUAUUAAAGUUGUUGCGGUUAAAAAGCUCGUAGUUGGUUCUGCGUGCCACGCUGUCGGUUCGCCGCCUGUCGGUGUAACUGGCAUGUCGCGGCAUGUCCUGUCGGUGGUGAACGGGGUCCCCGGUGCAACUUUGGCUUUUCAUAAAGUCAGAGCCUGUGCCGUGUGUGUCCCCGUUUGCCGAUCUCUCCUACUCCGGUGCUCUUAAACGAGUGUCGAGGUAGGCCGACACGUUCACUUUGAACAAAUUAGAGUGCUUAAAGCAGGCUGAAAUAUCUGCCUGAAUAGUGGUGCAUGGAAUGAUAAAAUAGGACCUCGGUUCUAUUUUGUUGGUUUUAGGAAUAUGAGGUAAUGAUCAAUGUGGACUGGCGGGGGCAUUCGUAUUGCGACGUUAGAGGUGAAAUUCUUGGAUCGUCGCAAGACGCACUAGAGCGAAAGCAUUUGCCAAGUAUGUCUUAAUUGAUCAAGAACGAAAGUUAGAGGUUCGAAGGCGAUCAGAUACCGCCCUAGUUCUAACCAUAAACGAUGCCAGCCAGCGAUCCGCCGAUGUUCCUUUCAUGACUCGGCGGGGAGCUUCUACCCGGGAAACCAAAGCUUUUGGGUUCCGGGGGAAGUAUGGUUGCAAAGCUGAAACUUAAAGGAAUUGACGGAAGGGCACCACCAGGAGUGGAGCCUGCGGCUUAAUUUGACUCAACACGGGAAACCUCACCAGGCCAGGACAUUGGAAGGAUUGACAGAUUGAUAGCUCUUUCUUGAUUCAGUGGGUAGUGGUGCAUGGCCGUUC
rnacentral:rRNA from 1 species